rnacentral:rRNA from 1 species
UACGAAGGGGGCUAGCGUUGUUCGGAAUCACUGGGCGUAAAGGGUGCGUAGGCGGGUUUUUAAGUCAGGGGUGAAAUCCUGGAGCUCAACUCCAGAACUGCCUUUGAUACUGAAGAUCUUGAGUUCGGGAGAGGUGAGUGGAACUGCGAGUGUAGAGGUGAAAUUCGUAGAUAUUCGCAAGAACACCAGUGGCGAAGGCGGCUCACUGGCCCGAUACUGACGCUGAGGCACGAAAGCGUGGGGAGCAAACAGG